AGUUUUGGGCUAUGUCUUAGACUAGGGAAACUCGGGGGAAGGGUACGCGCUAUUCAUUCAGAGAGGUUCUGCAGUUCCCCGUGGGCGGUGUCAACGGGCUGCUCAGCAAGGGCAACGAUGCCGAGAGGGUCGGGGGCUGCACGCUAGCGUACCUGCCGGCGGUUCUGGAGUACCUGGCCUCCGACACCCUGGAGUUGGCGGGCAACGCCGUCGGAACAAGAAGAAGACCCGCAUCAUCCCGCGCCACCUGCAGCUGGCCAUCCGCAACGACAAGGAGCUCGACAAGCUGCUGGCCCGAGUGACAAUGGCUUAGGGUGACGUUUUGCCCAACAUCCAAGCUGUGCUGCUGUCCCAAAGGAUUGGGAGCCACUACCACAAAGUCCAGUAUGAAUAACCACCCAAGUUGUAAAAGCCAGCGAAGUGACUUGAAUGUCUAAUGUCUAGAAGAAACAAAAACAAAAACAAAAACAAAAACCCCAAAGCUGAAAUCAAAGGCCCUUUUCAGAGCCACUCAAUUUCUGAGAAAGAGCUAGUUUACAAAAGGAUUACAAAAUGCUGUUUCGUCAAUAAGACUACAGCUUUCGUAAACAGGACUCAGAACAGUUCUGGUUAUUGGGGUAUCCGAAGCAGUUUCCUUUAAUACUCGGUAGUAUUGACAGCAGAACUUGAUGUUUCUGGGUGGAACUGUUUCAGCACCUACUUCAGGCUUUUGCAUUUCUGAUGACUGGAUGGCCCCACUGGAUCCAUGACUCUUGACUCAACUGGUCCUAUGGCCACUACUCAGAAGUGGACUCAGCUUCAGGAAGGCCAUUUUCCCUAUCCCUAUGAUUGCUUUCUCAACCAAUCAGCAGCACCCAUUCCCUAGCCCCCUGCUUGCCAAACUAUCUUUGAAAAACCCUAGCCUCCAAAUUUUCGGGGAGGUUAGUUUGAGUAGUAAUAAAACUCUAGUCUCCCUUC
rnacentral:lncRNA from 1 species